rnacentral:ribozyme from 1 species
GGGGCGAUUGCCCCGCCUAAUGCAGUCGAUGGACGGUCACAAGCCCGUGAAAAUGCAGAGUGGGCG